CCCUUAGGUCAGCGGCGGACGGGUGAGUAACACGUGGGUAACCUGCCUGUAAGACUGGGAUAACUCCGGGAAACCGGGGCUAAUACCGGAUGCUUGAUUGAACCGCAUGGUUCAAUCAUAAAAGGUGGCUUUUAGCUACCACUUACAGAUGGACCCGCGGCGCAAUAGCUAGUUGGUGAGGUAACGGCUCACCAAGGCGACGAUGCGUAGCCCACCUGAGAGGGUGAUCGGCCACACUGGGACUGAAACACGGCCCAGACUCCUACGGGAGGCAGCAGUAGGGAAUCUUCCGCAAUGGACGAAAGUCUGACGGAACAACGCCCCGUGAGUGAUGAAGGUUUUCGGAUCGUAAAACUCUGUUGUUAGGGAAGAACAAGUACCGUUCGAAUAGGGCGGUACCUUGACGGUACCUAACCAGAAAGCCACGGCUAACUACGUGCCAGCAGCCGCGGUAAUACGUAGGUGGCAAGCGUUGUCCGGAAUUAUUGGGCGUAAAGCGCGCGCAGGCGGUUUCUUAAGUCUGAUGUGAAAGCCCCCGGCUCAACCGGGGAGGGUCAUUGGAAACUGGGGAACUUGAGUGCAGAAGAAGAGAGUGGAAUUCCACGUGUAGCGGUGAAAUGCGUAGAGAUGUGGAGGAACACCAGUGGCGAAAGCGACUCUCUGGUCUGUAACUGACGCUGAGGCGCGAAAGCGUGGGGAGCGAACAGGAUUAGAUACCCUUGGUAGUCCACGCCGUAACGAUGAGUGCUAAGUGUUAGAGGGUUUCCGCCCUUUAGUGCUGCAGCAACGCAUUAAGCACUCCGCCUGGGGAGUACGUCGCAGACUGAACUCAAAG
rnacentral:rRNA from 1 species